AAUGUAUUCCCUCCGUUCGGAAUUACUUGUCGUAAAAAUGGAUGUAUUUAGAUGUAUUUUAAUUCUAGAUAUAUCUAUUUUCGAGACAAGUAAUGCAGAACGGAGGGAGUAUGUA
rnacentral:pre_miRNA from 1 species